AACAUAUUUUUUUUAACCUUUGUAGGACCUUUAGCCCAUCAAAACCUGCAAAAUCUUUACAUACCCAGAAGAAUAGACAGUUCUUCAAUGAACCAGAAGAACAUUUCUGGAUGGUCAUGGUUGUUCGGAAUCCUAUAAUUGAAAAACAGAGUAAAGAUGGAAAACCAGUUAUUGAAUAUCAAGAGGAGGAGUUGUUGGACAAGGUUUAUAGUUCAGUGCUACAGCAGUGCUACAGCAUGUACAAGCUUUUUAAUGGAACAUUUCUGAAAGCCAUGGAAGACGGAGGCGUCGAGCUUCUGAAAGAAAGAUUAGAGAAAUUCUUCCAUCGGGUAAGUACUUUGAAUUUCAUUUAUAACUUCAGUGAGCAUUCAGCAGAUUUUUAGAGAAAUAUGGACAGACAAAUUUGUUUCUUACGUACAAAAAACCCAGAACUUGAAAGUGGCAAAGAGCCUGAGACGGACCGUCGUAAAACUGGAGCAGCAAGGAACCGUGUGAGGUGAACGCUCUGGACCCUCCUCCAGCUGGAAGGCAGAGCUUCCUGCAUUCGCCCGGGGCUCUUAAAGAGUCCUGGAGUCAUCGUUUGGCCUCCUUGUGUUUUACCUGCGUCUGUCCUGGGCUUACUCAGCAGCCGUCUUUUGUGUGAUGGAUGAGUUGAUAAGGAAAACGUGAUUAUUGGAGUUGCACAUUCUUAGGGAUGGGCUCUGUUCACUAAACAGGCAUAAGCUGUGUCGAUGCAGGAAGAGUUACUGAGUUACUGGCUGUGGGCCUUUGUCAGAUGAGUGAUUAGGGACAUUUGUCCCAAGUGCUGUUCUUCCAUUGUGAUUGAAUUGUGCAUAUUUCACCCGACCUUGUCAAGCUCAGUUUAUCUUUUUUUUUUUAAAAGGAAACAAGAGACAGGGUCUUGUCCUGGCUGUUUUGCCCAGCCUGGUCUCAAGCGAUCUUCCCUCCUCAGCCUCCCAAAGUGCUGGGGUUAAAGGCAUAAGCCAACUCGCCCAGCCCAGUUUCCCUUGAAGAAACAAUUCUCAGUUUAUUUUCUUCGGAAAAUACCUUCUGUGUCUGUUGUUGAGUUCAACUUUUCUCUCUAAAAUGGCUUUCAUAGCUAUUUUCGAAUUUUUUAUUUCUCUGAAUUACUUCUUUGUUGUUUUGUCAUUUUAAUGAGCACAAUUAUCCACUCGCAUAUUAUCUCCUGGUUUCUGUUCUUGUCCUCAUUGCUCUCUUACCCAUCAACAUAUGGAUACAACUCUUGUCCUGACUACAUAUCAUUUACACCUGAUUUUAGUAUAAGAUGGCACUCUCGGCUGGGCGUGGUGGCUCACACCUGUAAUCCCAGCACUUUGGGAGGCCGAGGCAGGCAGAUCAUGAGGUCAUGAGUUCAAGACCAGCCUGGCCAACAUGGUGAAACCUCACCUCUACUAAAAUAUUAAAAAAAACUAGCUGGCUGUGGUGGCGCAUGCCUGUAAUCCUAGCUGUUCUGGGGACCGAGGCAGGAGAAUCGCUUGAACCCAGGAGGCAGAAGUUACAGUGAGCCAAGAUCGCAGCACUGCACUCCAUCCUGG
rnacentral:lncRNA from 1 species